UACGUAGGGCGCAAGCGUUGUCCGGAAUUAUUGGGCGUAAAGAGCGUGUAGGCGGCUUGUCACGUCGGGUGUGAAAGCCCGGGGCUUAACCCCGGGUCUGCAUUCGAUACGGGCUAGCUAGAGUGUGGUAGGGGAUAUCGGAAUUCCUGGUGUAGCGGUGAAAUGCGCAGAUAUCAGGAGGAACACCGGUGGCGAAGGCGGAUCUCUGGGCCAUUACUGACGCUGAGGAGCGAAAGCGUGGGGAGCGAACAGG
rnacentral:rRNA from 1 species